GCAGGAAGGAUGAAUUCAAGCUGUGGGAAGUGCCAGAAACAAACACAUAGGAAAGACUGAGUCACCACUGGCAUACCAUAGAACAAUCAUCCCUGCAGGAAAUCAGCAAGGAUCAGCAUACCCGGGCUUUCAAAAUACCUCUGCUUCCAAAGGCAACUAAUCAUAUGUAGUCAUCUUAUUUCUCAAACCUUGAGUUCCAUCCCAAACCAAGAAAUUGUUACACUCCAAGAUCCUCCUAUCAAGUCUUAAUUUUUUAUUGCUGUUGUUGGCUUGUUUAGUUGGUUACUAUGGUGGUUUGAAUAAGAAUGACCCUUAAAAUCUCAUAGAUUUGAAUGCAUAAUCACCAGGGAGUUUCACUACUUGAAAGGAUUAGAAGGUAUGGCCUUGUUGGAGGAAGUGUCACUAAUGACAGACUUUGGAGUUUCAAAAGCCCAUUCCAAGAAUCUCUCUUGCCCUGAUGAUCAGGAUGUACCUCUUAACUACUUCUCGAGUACCAUUUCUGACUGUGUGCCACCAUGCUUCCUGUAAUGAUGACAAUGGACUAAAACUCUGUAAUUGAGGCCCCAAUUAAAGCUUUCUUUUAUAACAA